rnacentral:rRNA from 1 species
AAUGAACGUUGGCGGCGUGGAUUAGGCAUGCAAGUCGUACGCAUAGCUUCGGCUAUGAGUGGCGCAAGGGUGAGUAAUGCGAAGGUAACCAACCCUGGUGUUGGGCAUAGCCGCGGGAAACUGCGGGUAAUUCCCAGCGACGUCACGAGAUGGCAUCAUCUUGUGACCAAAGGUGUGAUUCCGCUCUAGGACGGGCCUUCGUGGUAUUAGGUAGUUGGUGAGGUAACGGCUCACCAAGCCGACGAUGCCUACCGGGUGUGAGAGCAUGACCCGGCACACUGGAACUGAGACACUGUCCAGACACCUACGGGUGGCUGCAGUCGAGAAUCUUCGGCAAUGGGCGAAAGCCUGACCGAGCGACGCCGCGUGAGGGAUUGAAGGCCUUCGGGUGUAAACCUACUUCGUAGAGGAGGAAGGGCCGGUGAAGAACGGUCUUUGACCUAUUCUAGGAAGAAGCUUGGGCUAAGUUCGUGCC